rnacentral:tRNA from 1 species
CGGAUAGUAGCGCAGUUGGUAGCGCGCUUGGUUCGGGACCAAGAGGUCGCCGGUUCGACUCCGGCCUGUCCGACAA